rnacentral:RNase_P_RNA from 2 species
CGAGUUGGCCGGGCGACCGCGGCUCGCGCGAGCGGGUCGAGGAAAGUCCGGACUUCACAGAGCAGGGUGAUUGCUAACAGCAAUCCGAGGUGACUCGCGGGAAAGUGCCACAGAAAACAGACCGCCACCUGUCGGUGGUAAGGGUGAAACGGUGCGGUAAGAGCGCACCAGCGUCCCGGGUGACCGGGACGGCUCGGUAAACCCCACCCGAAGCAAGGCCAAGAAGGCCGCAUUUCGGUGCGGUCGCGCAGGCGCCUGAGGGCUGCUCGCUCGAGCCUGCGGGUAGGCCGCUUGAGGUACCCGGCGACGGUGUGCCCAGAUGGAUGGUCGCCACCGCAUCGCAUCGCGGUGCGGUACAGAAUCCGGCUUAUAGGCCAGCUCGUCCG